UGAGGAAUAUUGGUCAAUGGGGGCAACCCUGAACCAGCAACGCCGCGUGAGGGAUGAAGGGGCUCUGCCCUGUAAACCUCUGUCGGACGGGAAAAAAGAGAUCUUCUGGGUCUCGGGAUUGUACCGUUAGAGGAAGCGCCGGCUAACUACGUGCCAGCAGCCGCGGUAAUACGUAGGGCGCGAACGUUGUCCGGAAUUACUGGGCGUAAAGGGUGCGCAGGCGGCUUCGCGCGUCAGAGGUUAAAUCCCGCGGCUCAACCGCGGACAUGCCUUUGAUACGGCGGGGCUUGAAUACGAGAGAGGAUGAUAGAAUUCCUGGUGUAGCGGUGAAAUGCGUAGAUAUCAGGAGGAAUACCGGUGGCGAAGGCGGUCAUCUGGCUCGUAAUUGACGCUUAGGCAC
rnacentral:rRNA from 1 species